AAGAGUGUGCACUUCACCAAUCUGAUCAACAAUAUUUUAUUAAUUGUAAUUUGCCUGCAGUCUGCAUAUUAUAUUUAAAUAAAUAGUUAAAGUGUUGAACAGUUUGGAGUACCUACCAACGAUAAUAUGGAAUCCAGAUUCAGGCUAAUUGAAAUUUACUAUUUUGUGUUUCAUUUAUUAAAUUUGAACUCGUAAAUAGUCAUAUUACCUAUCAUAGAUAAUAAAUGUUAUUCAUCGACCUAUAUAUUAUCUGUAUGUCUGUGUUUACGAAUCUACGCGUAAUUGUGUAAAUGAUAGGCGAGAAGGGGAGCCUUAUUUUUGUCGAUGUAUCAUAUUUUCAAAAUUAAAUUAUAGCAAAAUAAAUUAAUAAUUAUUUUACUUUUUAUGUACCUAAUCAAUAUUAAAUAGUUAUACAGGUUAUAGUCUAUUAGUCUAUAUUUAUUUUAUUACAAUAUUUUGUAUGCAAUUACGUUUACGUGAAAUCAUUAUGAAAUAUUGUAGAUAUUAAAUACUUUUAUUUUUCAUUUAUUUAUGAAUUAAUUAAGUUCCCGAGUCUGGAAAUGUUUAUAGUAGUAAAUAUUGUAAUAAGGUUUUGUUUAUUGGAUUCACGAUACAUCAGGCCCGUAGCCACGGGGGGACUAGACUGCUAGAGGGGGCGUUGCCCCCCCUAAACCCAGUCGUUGCCCCCUCCAAAAAUAUUAAAAAUAUAAGAAAGACAUUGUUUUUAUAUAUAAUGUCCCCCCAAAAAAGUUUACUUUGCCCCACCUGAAAAUUUGGUCUGGCUACGGGCUUGCGAUACAUACCUUUAGGGUUUAGGUAUAUUUUGUCUUAGAAAAUAUUCUUUCCUUAUAGUUACUUACGUAUUAAAAUUUAAAAUGCUUUCCUGUGAGUUGUGACUUCAUCAUUUCAAAGUGUACCUAUUGUAUUACUGUAACGGUCCAUGCACAAGCAACCAUGAAUAGGCAUUAAAUAAUUAGCGUUCUGCGUUAUAAAUAAUCCAAGUUGUAAAAUAUUUCUAAGUGUUUAAUUAAUUGAAAAUGCUUAUAAGUCCCAAAACCACAAUUUCUGAUGUAUAAACUGGCGUAAAGACGCUUGCUCUAAUUCUUGUAAAUCACGUCUGAUAAAAGCUUAACUCGGACUUUCUUAUAAAAGCUUUUUCCUCACUCUUCUGGUCGAGUUCUUUCUGAGUUCUGGACAAGCGACGAGCUCCGUCAUGACCCACGCGAGUUUACGCGUUUACAGUUUACGCGUCCUUGCAGAUUGCAGUUCAUCUUAAAAUAUAGUUGGACAUGGAAGUCUAGAAGUGCGCACACAAAUGUAUACUCGAGGGUGUUAAAUGAGAUAUUAUGUCAAUUGACUUAUCAUAAUGUCACGGCGUUGAAUUUAUGGUACCUAUAGCUCAAAGAUGUAGACUAUAAGAUGACCGUAUUAGGCUUGACUGCUUGAGUUACAGUUGUAGGUAACCAUCGUAUCCGAAUGUAUACACACUACACACACGCACUCGUAGUUCAAUGAGAAAUCAAUGACUUUGAAAACAAGAGUGGCGCGCAUCGCCGUCACUUACAACAGCCAACAGGUAUAUUAUGUAUGAGUAUGGGAGGUGUUUUAGUCUCGCAGAAUGGAGGUCACCUUGAAAAUUGAACUGAAUAUACAUAGUUGCUGCAUUAGGGUGAUUGUUGUAUGGUGACUUAAAAAAAUGCCUUGCCGGGUUCUUGACCCUGUAGUUGACAUAGGUUAUAGCAGUUAAUAUUG